AGAAUGAACGCUGGCGGCGUGCUUAACACAUGCAAGUCGAGCGAGGCCAGGGGGGCAACUCCCUGAGUCGAGCGGCGGACGGGUGAGUAACACGUGGGUAACCUACCCGGAAGUGGGGAAUACCUCGGGGAAACUCGAGCUAAUACCGCAUAACAUCUUCGGGACGAAAGUCCUGACGAUCAAAGCGGGGUCGCAAGAUCUCGCGCUACCGGAUGGGCCCGCGCCCCGAUUAGCUAGUUGGUGAGGUAAUGGCUCACCAAGGCGACGAUC
rnacentral:rRNA from 1 species